GUAGGUGGCAAGCGUUGUCCGGAAUUAUUGGGCGUAAAGCGCGCGCAGGCGGUUCUUUAAGUCUGAUGUGAAAGCCCACGGCUCAACCGUGGAGGGUCAUUGGAAACUGGAGAACUUGAGUACAGAAGAGGAAAGCGGAAUUCCACGUGUAGCGGUGAAAUGCGUAGAGAUGCGGAGGAACACCAGUGGCGAAGGCGGCUCUCUGGUCUGUAACUGACGCUGAGGCGCGAAAGCGUGGGGAGCAAACAGGAUUAGAUACCCUGGUAGUCCACGCCGUAAACGAUGAGUGCUAAGUGUUAGGGGGGUUUUCCGCCCCCCUUAGUGCUGCAGCUAACGCAUUAAGCACUCCGCCUGGGAGUACGGCCGCAAGGCUG
rnacentral:rRNA from 1 species